UUGGAGGGCAAGUCUGGUGCCAGCAGCCGCGGUAAUUCCAGCUCCAAUAGCGUAUAUUAAAGUUGUUGCAGUUAAAAGGCUCGUAGUUGAAUUUCGGGGUCAGCAGGUUGGUCGUGCCACUGGUAUGCACUGGCUUCGCUGAUUCCUCCUUUCUGAAGAACUGUAAUGCCAUUAAUUUGGUGUUGCAGGGAAACAGGACUGUUACUUUGAAAAAAUUAGAGUGUUUAAAGCAGGCUUUGGCUUGAAUACAUUAGCAUGGAAUAAUGAAAUAGGACGUUCGAUCCUAUUUUGUUGGUUUCUAGGAUUGACGUAAUGAUUAAUAGGGAUAGUUGGGGGCAUUAGUAUUCAAUUGUCAGAGGUGAAAUUCUUGGAUUUAUUGAAGACUAACUACUGCGAAAGCAUUUGCCAAGGAUGUUUUCAUUAAUCAAGAACGAAAGUUAGGGGAUCGAAGACGAUCAGAUACCGUCGUAGUCUUAACCAUAAACUAUGCCGACUAGGGAUCGGAUGAUGUUAUUUUUAAUGACUCAUUCGGCGCCUUACGGGAAAC
rnacentral:rRNA from 1 species